GACGAACGCUGGCGGCGUGCUUAACACAUGCAAGUCGAACGGAAAGGCCCUGCUUUUGUGGGGUGCUCGAGUGGCGAACGGGUGAGUAACACGUGAGUAACCUGCCCCUGACUUUGGGAUAACUUCAGGAAACUGGGGCUAAUACCGGAUAGGAGCUCCUGCUGCAUGGUGGGGGUUGGAAAGUUUCGGCGGUUGGGGAUGGACUCGCGGCUUAUCAGCUUGUUGGUGGGGUAGUGGCUUACCAAGGCUUUGACGGGUAGCCGGCCUGAGAGGGUGACCGGCGACAUUGGGACUGAGAUACGGCCCAGACUCCUACGGGAGGCAGCAGUGGGGAAUAUUGCACAAUGAGCGGAAGCCUGAUGCAGCAACGCCGCGUGCGGGAUGACGGCCUUCGGGUUGUAAACCGCUUUCGCCUGUGACGAAGCGUGAGUGACGGUAAUGGGUAAAGAAGCACCGGCUAACUACGUG
rnacentral:rRNA from 1 species